AUUGAACGCUGGCGGCGUGCUUAACACAUGCAAGUCGUGCGGUAACAGGCGUAGCAAUACGUGCUGACGAGCGGCGAACGGGUGCGUAAUACAUGGGAAUCUGCCCUUUAGUGGGGAAUAACCCGGCGAAAGCCGGGCUAAUGCCGCAUAAGAUCUUCGGAUGAAAGCGGGGAGUCGUAAGACCUCGCGCUGAUGGAUGAGCCCACUGUCGGAUUAG
rnacentral:rRNA from 1 species